UGUUAAAAUUUUCAUUCAUUUGUACUAUUAAAAAUUGACAUGACUAAUGAAAUAACUAGAAAGUGACACGUGAUAUGCCUCGUGUACCUUAUGUUGAUGUAUAAUGACCAUUUUUAACUGUAGAACGGGAUAGAAUUUUUAACA
rfam:Gossypium raimondii Chr11_contig_1013, whole genome shotgun sequence.